GCUCCCAGCGUGCUCGCUGCUGGCAGCGUGCAGCAGCAGCUAUGAUUUCAGCAACAUGACAGGUUGUUCACUUUAGGUAGUAACACAUCGAAGCCUGGGGAGAGAUUUAAGAGCGUUCGCUUAGUUAAUGGUCAACGAGGGAUUUUCAGGGACAUUCACAGAGAAAGACGAACCAUCCAACCUCUAAACGUCCACUCGCUCUGAUCGAAGACGCCAUUGAUCGCUCUACAUGUGAUAUCUGGUUACAUCAUGCUGUAUUUGGUGCAGCCGCCUACUCAUGCAAAUACCCAGGAGUUGGCAGGGAGAGGACUCGCUGUCACAACCGAAAUGCAUCCCUCAAAGUCGCUGAACUUCUGCACCGGCUCAUAAUUAACCGAGCGGCGAUGAAGAGGAUGAGCUGACGUUAAAGCGUCUUAGGAGCACGACUCUGUUUGCGUUUGAGACGUCUCUCGCUCCUCUGCAGAUUUCCUCCAGCCUUCAAAGACACGCGCAGACAAAAGAGAGGAGACGUCUGACUCAUGCAGAGACACAAAACCCCGUGUGAGAGCGAGGAGGGAGCGUUGCAGGGAGGCUUAUUGGUGGAGAGGAGAAGGGAGAGACGUUCACUCAGCACCUGCCAAGACCUUGGUGCCUUCACAAGCCCUGAAAUCACCACCUCCACUCGCUGCUGGAAGAACGACGAACGCAACAAGGGAGUUCAUCUCAGUUUCAAGGGCUCGGACACUCCAGUAGUGUGGACGCCACAUGUCAACCUAGCAAAGGUGAAGGUUUAAAACUAAAACGCAUCAGUGUGGACGAAACCUCGGAGGCCGACUGGACGCUGCAGCCCUGAGUAAAGUGGUUUCCUCGGAAGAGAGCAAAUCCUCAGAUGCUUUCACAAGAAGCAGCGUCUUCGAGAUCUCACAUGAAGAAAGUCACAUUUCCAGCACAAAUAAAACUCUUGUUGAAAGGAAGGAACCUGAACCUGCUCUGAUCCGUCGUUUCUGCUAAUGUACACCAGAAAGAAGUGGGAUUCCUCUGGUUGGACACUCGACUCUGGAGGUCGCUGAUUACUUGCUGAUGUUUUGACCAUUUCAUCAGAGAUAGAAACGCCACGCAGACGACAACAGGCCACAAGGCAAACACAAAAACACAAAGAGAAGUAACGUGCACAGUCACAACAACCGCAAAUCUAAAUAUAUCACCUGGAGAUAAAAGCUUCCUCUGAGGACUCACGUUUACAGGAAGCAGGAGUUUGAACACACUCCAUGAAAGAUGCACACGACGGACGAACUCUUUAACCGUCGCUGGUCCUGAACCUUUACACACACCUGGAGGUCGAAGGUCUUUAAUGAUGCACAAUCGAACAUCACAACCUGAUCUAUAUCUUGUGCACUUCCUUGGUGGAAACAGCAGAAACUGUCUCAAGGCUCAUUUGUGCUCGAGGUCAGAUUUGUAAAAGGAAACAGACGGAGCUUUCUGACGACCACAGCACAUGAAGAAGAAACGCUUUUAAAAAGAGACUUAACGAGUCGCGCUGGAAGCAGGAAGCUGGAAGCAGGAAGCAGGAAGCUCGUUUCUCUAAUCAAACAGUAAAUCUGAUCCUCCACGCAGAUUAAACUGGCAGCAGCUGAUAUUUACUCGUAUUAAUACCUCGGAGAGCUCGGAGAUGCCUGACGUCCUUCUGGUGAAUUCUCUUUCCUCAGAGUCACCGUCGGCCUCGACCGAGCCCUGAAGUCGGGGGUUUGGCAGCUGCUCGCUCACGUGUCGAGCGCAUGAGGUGAAACAGGUAACAGAUGACAGGCAGCGAUCAGCAGCAUCUCCGCUCACUGCAGCAAACAUCCAGCUCCCGUCUCACAGCAGCGUCAGCACGAGCGUCUGAAGGAGCCUCAGUGAAAACACCAACUCUCUCAUCGGCUAUUUCAGACAAACGACGUUAAGGACAAUCGAAUUAAAAGAUUAUGGCGACUGCCUGCGUCCGCCAAUGCCGAUGUUUCCAGGUGAACUUGAGACAGAGGCAAACAGUGGCAUUCAUUGAUCGAUGGGUUUUAAAAAUAAACUCCUGGAGAGGAAGGCUGGAUCUGCUCCAUCCUCUCCUGACGUCCCUCCAUCUUUUCCUGCUCCAACACCAACGUACAGAGAAACAUCAAGACAAGAUGUCACAGAUUUACUGGUUUUAUCAGACGUGAGGAUUUUGAGUUGUUGCUCGAACAAGACGUUUACAGACACCUCGUCCUCUGGGAAGAUUUCCUGGAAUCAUUUUCUGGCUUUUUAUAGAAUAAAUAAACGACACAUUUCCACUUCCUUCCACAAUGAAAUGAAGCCAAAACAUCACAGAUCUGAACGCUGUCAUCUUGCACCAAUGACAUCAUGUGGAGUCUGUGCAGUAGAGAUCAGGGGGCGGAGACACGGUCCCGCCGAUACACACGCUCGACCAAUUGCGAGUCAGCCUCAGAUGUCAAUCAUGACGUUUCACCCUGUUUUACAGCAUCAAAUAACAAAUUAAAACACUUUUCCCAGUUUGAUACGAACUUUACCUAAGAUGACAGAAACCAUCUUUGAGAGAUUUAAUGUGUAUUUUGACUUUAUUAGUUUGGUCCAUGUCCCAUCUGCUAACAAGGAGGAGGCGGGGUUUAUGACCUACACUGCAGCCAGCCACCAGGGGGCGAUGGAGACGAUUCAGUGUCACUCUUGAGGAGCUGUCACGUCGUCCAGUCUCCAGACUUUUGAAAACAGUGACCUGUGUUUGCACGCUCCGCUCACAUGUCGUGAAUUAGACCCGUUACAGCUCCACCGUGUUUUCACCAGAAGAGAGAGAGAGAGUCACGUAUUCAGAUAAACAGGGAUUCGACUCUUCAGCCGAGCGAUGGGGGCGAUCAAACAUGGUGGAGAAAAUCAAUUACUGGCACUGAAACGUUACCAAACAGCCAAGAGUGACGCCUGCUUCCCCAUUUACUCACAUUACAUCUCAACCGGGAGACCGGCGUGACAGAACCAGAGGGAAUUUCAAGCUUGUGUAACGAGCAGAAAACGCCUCUACAACAGAUUUGCGUUUCAUUAAUCACGCUCCGGAUUCCAGGCCACCGCGAAGCGCUCUCCAUCUGCACCGCGGCCAACAGGAGGAGGCCUCGCAGCAGACUACCACUCGUCACCGGGGAACACAGCAGGAUUGUAAAAUGCUAAUGCUCGCCAUCAUCACACGAGCCAUCCAACUGCUUAAAGGGCCCAUUUCACUGCCAGCGCUCUCACCUCCUCCUCCCACCGCCGCACCCCCGAAACCUGCUCGUGGCUUUCGGUGCUGGAUACGAGCAGAACGCACCGUGAAGAUCUGCAGCUACAGAGAAAACAGGCAGAAUCUGAGAAGACGAUGGGAGAAGAGAUAGAAGCGGUGGGGGAAGAGUGGGAGAGUGUAGGAAGAAAUAAAACAGACGUGGGAAGGAGGUAAAAAAACCAACACUUGAAGACGGCUCUGGUCACUGAAGCUGUUUUCUGUGCAGCAUCGACAACGUGAGAAGAGAUGGAGGCCGGAGCGUCUCAGUGUGAGAACUGAUGGAGACACAAACAUCUACCAUCAGUGUGUGUGUGUGUGUGUGUGUGUGUGUGUGUGUGUGUGUGUGUGUGUGUGUGUGUGUGUGUGUGUGUGCGUGCGUGCGUGUCCUGCUUCAAACUACACAACCUGUUAUCCUCCCACCACAGAUUCUUCUCGCCAAUAAACUUCAAGAAAAGACUGAAGAUGUCGUAGAAACAUCAGCGAUUGUUGAGCAUUAAAAACACACGAGCUACACAAUCCUUCAACCACAGACACACACACACACACACACUGUUCUCUUCAGCCUCAUUUCCACAUCCGUCCUGGUCGCAGCCGUUAAUCACAUCUUUGCUUUUGACACCAGACACAAGAGAAAAGUUCUGAUUUGGACAAAUAAUCAACGAGCUGAAAAAACCUCUGUGAAGAAGAGGGCAGCGGCAGAUUCUCCUCUUCCUCUCUACAAGCGACUCUUCCCCCCCCAGUACACCUUCACUUAAUCAAUUAUAAGACGUCAUGAACUUUUCCAGAGCAUCUCACGCUGACCUUCACUAAACAAUCAGCAGCAGACAUGUAUUAACUCUGCAGAUGUUCAGCAGCUUCCAUGAUGCAGACCUUGAUCCUAACUGUGAGAAUCCAUGAAUGAAGUGAAUAUGAAGUUCUCGUAGAGCAGCUGAUUCCACAGAGACGUGUGUUUUCACUUGGCUCCCUGUUCAGGUGAGGAGGAAUCAUUCACCAUUCACUGAAACAGGGUCGAGACUGAGCCCCACGGAGGAGGAGGGGGUUGGAUUCAUAAACUGUGCAACAAAUGAAGACGAAAUGCUUCCAGCUGCCCUUGUCGGCGGCGGGGGUGAGGAAUGGAUCUGCCCUCGGGCUGAUACAGGGGGACAUUUGACAGGGUCGUCAAUCGGUCAUGCAGCUCCGUCCUGUCUGAGCCGCAGAGGGGACCAGAGUUUUCUGCAGUGCAAUUUAUCAGCAGCAGCGAGCAUCAGCAUAUAUAUAUAUACGACCAGAACCUGAACCCGUCAGCACGCAACUCAUAACUGAAAAAUGUAAAAAUAGAAAUGUUGCAACACAGUUUUUUUACAACAGUCAAGAAC